UACGUAGGCAGCGAGCGUUGUUCGGAGUUACUGGGCGUAAAGGGGGUGUAGGCGGUUGUUUAAGUUUGGUGUGAAAUCUCCCGGCUCAACUGGGAGGGUGCGCCGAAUACUGAAUGACUUGGAGUGCGGGAGAGGAGAGUGGAAUUCCCGGUGUAGCGGUGAAAUGCGCAGAUAUCGGGAAGAACACCCGUGGCGAAGGCGCCUCUUUGGCCUGUAACUGACGCUGAGGCGCGAAAGCGUGGGGAGCAAACAGG
rnacentral:rRNA from 1 species